rnacentral:rRNA from 1 species
CCUACGGGUGGCAGCAGUGGGGAAUAUUGCACAAUGGGGGAAACCCUGAUGCAGCGACGCCGCGUGAGGGAUGAAGUCUUUCGGUAUGUAAAGCUCUAUCAGCAGGGAAGAAAAUGACGGUACCUGUCUAUGAAUCCCCGGCCAACUACGUGCCAGCAGCCGCGGUAAUACGUAGGCAGCAAGCGUUAUCCGGAUUUACUGGGUGUAAAGGGAGCGUAGACGGCUAAUCAAGUCAGAAGUGAAAACCCAGGGCUCAACCUUGGGACUGCUUUUGAAACUGAGUAGCUAGAGUGCAGGAGAGGUAAGCGGAAUUCGUGGUGUAGCGGUGAAAUGCUUAGAUAUCACGAAGAACACCGAUGGCGAAGGCAGCUUACUGGACUGUAACUGACGUUGAGGCUCGAAAGCGUGGGGAGCAAACAGGAUUAGAUACCCGAGUAGUC